GGGCGGUGGGGGAGGGGGCUGUAUGUGUGUGAAGACGGACGAGGGAGCCUGGGAUGCUGGAGGUAAGGAAGACUUGUGGGUUGCAGAAGUGGGGGAGCAGAAAUGGGCAGCGAAGAGGCAGAUAUCUGGGGAAGGGAAACUGAGGAAGGAAAAAUCCCUUCUCCAAAAAGGGCGAGACUGGUGGUGGUGGUGGUGAGUUGUAGAAAAGACAGCGCUUAAGGGUGUGGUGAACCCUCUGAGCAAUUUUCUCUUCCAAAGAUAAUCUUUGAGUCACCAUAUUAAAUUUAAUUAAAACCUUCCUAGCCACACACAUUUUAGAAAUUCAAUUAAAUUACCCCCACGUCUUUGUAGGACUUCUGGCAGGGCCAAAGAAUACUUCCAAUGUGAAGGUUUGAUUUUCACCAACAUCAACUCACUCUGCUUGCCCUAAAGGGGUCAAACUACUGGCUCUUUCAAUCCUCCACCCCUGGGAGAGGCAGGCCUGUUUUCAAGAACCCUUAACCCCCAGGCUGUGUCAGGAAGGUGGGGUCCAUGAGCAUGGGCCAACACUGGAGCCUUUCCAAACUCUCAUUCCUCUCUCCAAAUUGCUCCAGUUUAAGAACUUGCCUACUGAAAGAUUAGCUUGUUAAUUCUCUCACUCUCUCCCAAGCCUCCAUUUGUGUGUUCAUCUUGACUCCUUCUCUUCCUAUUUGGAUGAGGGAGGAGAAAUGCAAAGGAAAAAUACCAAAUGGCCUCACGGAGAUCUUUUUUACGGGAGUUGAAACAGACAACCUGAAAUGAACUUUGAAUCCAUACAUUAAACUUAGCUCAUGAGCAAAUGCCUAGAGAGACUCAGUAAUUAUAACACUGGGGCAUAUGUCUAUUUUGGGUCUUUAAAUGACUGUUGUAUUAUGAGAUGUCAUUAUCUGCUCUUCCAAGCAUUUACUAUAGGAGGUACACUGUGGGCGUUUUUCCUUCCAGGAUGGAGAUAACCUGAGAGUUUCUGUAAAGAUGCCUUUUGAAACAUGGCCAGAAGAGACAAAGGUUUAAUAUCAAAUUUCAAAUAGAUUUAACCCAGGGUUUUGACUAAACCAAUUGGGUGAAGGUCCCUAUUUCUGCUUAGUCCUUAGGUGAGUUUCUCUGCAGUGUCAGGCCAGGAAGGAAUUCCUGGAGUCCUGAAGAGACAGAUGUCAAAGCCUGAACUGAAGAAUCCAUCUCCUUCUGUUCCAGCACAGAACGUUAGCAAAUUUAGGUAUAGACUGGAGCAGCCCAAGGUCCUGGGCUAGAAGGACCAGGAUGGGGAAGAAGUGGCCUCUGCCAUUCUGGACCAAGCUGGGUGCCUUGGGGAGUUCUUUCUUGACCUCUCCGUACUAGGAGGAUACCACCCUACCAACUAGGCUGGAGCCCUGUUUCAGUCUGUAGACUUGAAUUGGGAGGAAAGGGAGUCACCUGACCCACCUCUGCAGGACCCUAGGAAGCUGGAGAAAGGGAGAAGUGUGUUGUAGGCAAUCCACCAGAUUCUAAUCCUGGAGAGACAAACCCAAGAAAAUCUCACUAUUUUAAAUGCCUUCUUGAUCUGCUCCUGAACCUCCUUGUGUGGGUGAUGGGGGUAGGCAAAAGUGUUACUGUAUUGAUGAGAACGAUUCUUCGGGGGGAGGGGGAAGCUAUUGUUUUGUAUUUAAAGGACAGUUAAAGCUCUGAAAGUUAUGUCGCCGGCUUUGACCAGCCCAGCCCAGCACCUCUCUCAGGGUUCUAUCUUCCCCAAACCUGCUGGGUUGUGUGGACCAAAAUCUUGGCCCCAAGAGGUGGAGUGGUCAUUUCUAGGCCCUGGAGCUUCCAAAGCUUUUGUAGAAAUGAGGAUAUCUCUGACACUUGGGGGAGCAAAUAAAGCAGAUGGAGUGUGCAAUGGGGUGGGGAUCCGGGCCCUGGCCAUACAGGCAUUUAGGGGUAAGGUUCAGGGAAGGGGCCUCUUGCUCAGGCCUGCUCUCUGGGGCCCAGGUGCCCAAAGCCAUGCUUUCAGUUUUCCCCGUGCCAGCCUCAUUCUCAGGCCUCAAAAGGAUCCCACAUGAAACCCCACACUCUCUCUGGAACCCGAGCUGACAAAAUAUGGGAAUGAUGGAAAAUCAAAACAGGGGCGUGGCCGACUGACUCCUAUCCGAAUGGGACUUUUUUCGGGUGGGGGUUGGAUGAAGAGAAGAGAAGGCUCUGGCGAAAAGUCGAGCUGGAGAGGAUGAGCUGAAUCAAAUUUCUGCUCUGUCAUUUUUUUCCCAAGUAAUGACCUACGCAAAAUUCAAUAUGACCCAGCGAACUGCGCGAGCAUAUUAUAGUAACUGCCUGCUCGUGGGGGAGGCUGGGAGAGAGGUGAACCGCAGGUCACGGCGUCUAAAAAUUAUUAAAAUGUUUGAGAGCCUCGUGACGCGCCUAGCUGUUUAACAAAGACUGCCAAAGUAUGAGAUUAACACGAAAACUUGCGCUUCCAAAACAAAAACACACCAAAAAAAAAAGUCACGUUCCGGCUUCUGAGGGAGCCCGUGGCUGUGUCCGCCGCCGCGGUCCGGUUUUCCGGACACACAAUAGUGGACAGGAGAGAGCUCAGCUGUUGCCCGGCGCGUCCGCGGGCGGCUCGGCGGCCGGCGGGGCUGGGGAGCCUCCCGGUGAGUACCCUCGCCCGCGCCCCCUCUGGGCCUUUCUCUCCUCCGCGCCGCCGCCGCCGGUGCGCAGGCCGGCUGGGGACUCGCCUCCGCUCGGGCCUUCGGUUUCGCUCCCUCGCUGAGUCCCUUCUCCCCGCCAACAAAAGGUGAUGAUUCCUAGCGGACUGGGCACGCCUGGACGGCGGAGGGUGGCUGGGAGGGGCGAGGUCACGCUAGCAACCUGUGGCUGCCAGGAGAAGGCGGCUGGGAAGCCACGGAAAGACCCGGGAGCGCAGGGGAGGUGGCUCAGCUCGCGCGCAGCCCCUGCUCUUAUUUUACUAUUAUGCGUGUUGCUGUUCGUAUCCUUCUGGGCGGUGAAGGGGAGAGGCAGCCUCCCGCUCCGGUGAAACCCGUCCUGGGAGUCGCCCAUAAACCCUGUUCUCCAUCUCAGGCGGCUGGAGGGGUGAGGGGGGUGCGGCGCCUUGGUGGGAUUGGCAGGUGGUGACUUCCAGGGCGCAGAGGAGAAAAAUCUCUGCUCUUGGGCGCCAGGAUCAAGGAUACCCAAACCCGCGGUGGCUCUGCCGCCUGUUCCUCUCUCUUGGGGUGCUGGGGCACCUGGGCCGCAUCCCUUGUGAAGUGUAGAGCAGCAGAGAGGCCCGGCCGCCGGCCCAGCGGCCCUCCCAAACUUCCGAAAUGCCGACGGGUUGGACGGGUUUCCGAGAGCUGGCGAGUUGAGAAGGACAGGAGGUAUGGGGUGGGGGAGGGGCCUGGACCGUUGGAGUGGGUCCUGGAGACCCUAAGUGGCCUAUGACAAGAUUUGGAAAGGUCCCUGGUUGACGCUAGGGAGCUGGUGGGGAUCCUAGCAGCGCAUUUUGUCUGUGGGCCCUGGGCCAGACUCUAGUCUCCCUGAGUGCCCAGAUGGGGGUCUGAGAUUACCUAUUGGACCCUCUCUUGGCAAAGACAACCAUAGUGUGAUAGUUUGCUUUUUUCUCCCAAAUAUGUGUGAGUUCAGCCUGUCUGGGAGAAUGUUGAUGUUAGAAAUCAGGCCCAGAGGCCAACAUUGGCAAUUCCUAGAUUUAAGAUUAAAAGAAAAUCAGAGGGUCUCUGGACCUAGUUGUGGGCAGGUGGGAACUCUCCUCCUACCCACCUGCAAGGUCCCAGGACUGGGCAUAGGCAGAGAUCUCUGGAGUGUUGCAGUUAGAGGGUUGUUUUUGUGUUGUUCCUGUAUUUGUUAAUGAAAUUGAUAUUAUUUUGACUUCCUCACUAAAGAUGCAAGUAUUUCUCAGACCUAGGGAGUUGAGUAGGGAGUCUGGGUGGGGUGGAGGCUUUUUCUAUGCACAUUUUCCCUUACUCUGUCACAGCUUUCACAGUCUCAGUUCCCUCCAGCCCAAUCCCCAGACUCUCAGCUUAGUAAAUUCACGGCUUCUGGGAGCUUCAGAAAGUUGGUUCGUAAACCCCAGAUGCCCAUUUUGGCCCUACCACCAGCAACCCAAGCAGGUGGCUAGGCGAGUUCAUAUGUGUUUAGAAGGAAAGGACCCGUCUGGGGCUAGGAAGGUGGGGAAAUGGGGUUCCUCCCCACACCUCCCCGGGAUAGACCCUCUCUCCUGGCUCCCAGGAUGUGUGAGAGGCUGGGAGGGGCCCUAUAUCAUCUGGCUGCAUCUUUUAUGGUUCCUCAUUGCCCUUCAUUCGGAAAUGAAACGCCUUUGAUCUUUUCUCAGGUUGUAAACGGAAUUGCCCGUCAUUAAAUAUCCGGGGCCCCAUCUGCUUGGUCUCCCAGCAUUUUUCUUUACAGCUGUUUCUCUCUCUUUUUACCACUGAAUUUUUCCAAAAGGACUUUUAUUACACCACCUUCACACCCAGCCGCCUCUUCCUCCUCCCUUCGCUGAGAGGCGCUUUGGAAAAUAUCUAGAUAUUCGUUUGAUCACAAACUAAAGGCUUGGAGGGGCACGGAGGAGCCGAUUGGGGUUUUGUUUUUUCUAAAAAAAAAAAAAAAAAAAAA
rnacentral:lncRNA from 1 species